GGGGAAUUUUGGACAAUGGGCGCAAGCCUGAUCCAGCCAUGCCGCGUGUCUGAAGAAGGCCUUCGGGUUGUAAAGGACUUUUGUCAGGGAAGAAAAGGCUGUUGCUAAUACCGACAGCUGAUGACGGUACCUGAAGAAUAAGCACCGGCUAACUACGUGCCAGCAGCCGCGGUAAUACGUAGGGUGCGAGCGUUAAUCGGAAUUACCGGGCGUAAAGCGAGCGCAGACGGUUACUUAAGCAGGAUGUGAAAUCCCCGGGCUCAACCUGGGAACUGCGUUCUGAACUGGGUGACUAGAGUGUGUCAGAGGGAGGUAGAAUUCCACGUGUAGCAGUGAAAUGCGUAGAGAUGUGGAGGAAUACCGAUGGCGAAGGCAGCCUCCUGGGAUAACACUGACGUUCAUGCUCGAAAGCGUGGGUAGCAAACAGGAUUAGAUACCCUGGUAGUCCACGCCCUAAACGAUGUCAAUUAGCUGUUGGGCAACUUGAUUGCUUAGUAGCGUAGCUAACGCGUGAAAUUGACCGCCUGGGGAGUACGGUCGCAAGAUUA
rnacentral:rRNA from 1 species